GUGCUUCUACUGAAAGUUCUAGAUAGGUCCAACCAUUAACAUACCAGAAUUUAGUGCAUCUAACAAACAAGUGAUCAGGCCUGAGUGUGGCUCGACCAAUCUGACCAUCAUCAGAAAGAUACAACUAAAUCAAUAUAUUAUGAAUGAUAAUUCUGACAAUCAGAUGAGCACCAGAGGGGUGGCGCCUCUAAUGAUCAUCUAAACUGUUGGACUCAUUAUUACCCAACUUAAUAGGAGACUAUGAUCUAGUUGAAUUGAGAGAUGAGAAGACUUGACUAGUUAAUCUUAAUCCUCCCACUGACUUCACC
rnacentral:lncRNA from 1 species